rfam:Hymenolepis nana genome assembly, scaffold: HNAJ_scaffold0001769
GUGGGUUACGGUGACAUGUUGCCUCGGACUCCGAUUGGUAAGGUCAUUGGAUCGGCAUGUUGCAUCUGUGGUGUCUUAGUCGUGGCUUUGCCAAUUCCUAUCAUCGUCAACAAC